UACGUAGGAGGCAAGCGUUGUCCGGAAUUACUGGGUGUAAAGCGCGUGUAGGCGGCUAUGCAAGUCGGAUGUGAAAGCCCUCGGCUCAACCGGGGGAAGUGCACCCGAAACUGCAAAGCUAGAGUCUCGGAGAGGAUCGUGGAAUUCUCGGUGUAGAGGUGAAAUUCGUAGAUAUCGAGAGGAACACCGGUGGCGAAGGCGGCGAUCUGGACGAUGACUGACGCUGAGA
rnacentral:rRNA from 1 species